UACAGAGGGUGCAAGCGUUAAUCGGAAUUACUGGGCGUAAAGCGCGCGUAGGUGGUUUGUUAAGUUGGAUGUGAAAGCCCCGGGCUCAACCUGGGAACUGCAUUCAAAACUGACAAGCUAGAGUAUGGUAGAGGGUGGUGGAAUUUCCUGUGUAGCGGUGAAAUGCGUAGAUAUAGGAAGGAACACCAGUGGCGAAGGCGGCAUCCUGGACCAAUUCUGACACUGAGGAGCGAAAGCCAGGGGAGCAAACGGG
rnacentral:rRNA from 1 species